rnacentral:lncRNA from 1 species
GCGGGGUUGCGGUAUGAGCUUUGCUCCCUGCCCUGGGGUCCCGGGCGCUCCUGGCUCUGGAGGCCUGGCCAUCGGUCCGAAAAGCAAAGGGACAUUGUCGUGGUCCCCUCGGCCGCUUCGCUCCACCCAGAGACGCCCUGAGGAGAAGCGAGCCUUUGUACGAAGGCAGAGGGCUGACUCCUAAGUUCUGUCCCCCUCCCGAAGGCCGGCCGCUAGGGAAGACUUGGCCACCCUCUGGAAGUACCUUCCCCCGGGAAAACCGCAGCAGGAAAGACCAUGAAAUACUACUGUGUGUGAUCCGCUCCGUUUGGGGAGUAGGAUGAGGCAUCCCGCUUGGUUACCAGGCAGAAAGGGGCGAGUCGCGGGGAUGGGAAGACCCUGAUCUCUUGCCCAUUGCUGCGGCCGUCGGAGAUGCCCUCCCCCGCGGCCACGGAGGCGGUAACCUGAGCUGCUCCGCAGGACUGGAAACCGCACAACCUCGAAACCAGCUGCGCAGGAGAAGGGGAACCCCAUCCACCAUAAACAUCCCCUCUGCGAAGCCUCAGGAGCUGGAGGAGAUUUUAUUACCAUUUUUAUUAUCAAGAGCUUAAAAUUUCCCAGACAGUCUGUUUUCUCUCCCAGGCCCCCCAUGAGGUCCUUAAAAGCAAAGAUAUUUAAAAAGAACGAAAGAAAGAAAAAAACCAAAAAGCAAAUCCUUGGAAAUGCCUUAAAGGACUCUCCAGAGACACACUGCUCUUUGUAGGUGUUUAUUCCUAUGGGCCCACUGGACCAAACGCUAAAAAACGUGAAGACAUCAGACUGUGAGACUCAUAGAGCAGACACAAAAUGGAAAACUGGCCCAAAGCAGUUUGCUUCCUCAGAGUGGAGAGUUGUAUAUUUGAUGUUCCAAAAAUAUAUUUAUGCUUGCACAUAUAUUUUCUCAUUCUUUCUGGGGUCAGGUAUUUUUAUUUUACUGAGGAUGAAAUGAAAGUUCAAAGACAGAUGACUUGACUUGCCCAACAUCAUCUGAAGUUACUCCCUGAUAUAAAACUACUGGCCCUCUGUAGUUUUACUUUAUCUCUCGAUUCAGCAUAAUAAUAAUAACUAACAUUUAUUUAGUGGUACUAAGCUAUGAGCUUUGGGGCAAGCAAACACUGAGAUGGUCUCCAAUGAUCCCCAUUUCCUGGUGUUCAUUCCCCUGUAUAAUCUCUGCCCUGGGAGUGUGGACUGGCCUUGUGAUUUCUAACAAACAUAGUGUGGCAAGAGUGAUGAGAAGAAGGCUAAAUAAGAUUGUGGCUUCUUCCUUGUUAGUUGACUUUCCCUCUCAUUGAUUUUGAUGAAGCAAGCUGUUAUGUCGGGGAGGCCCACAUAGCAAGGAACUGAGGAGGGCAGCCUCUGGCCAACAGUCAGCAAGGAACUGAAUUCUGCCAACAACCAUGUCAGUGAGCUUGGAAACGGAUCCUUCCCCAGUUGGGUCUUGAGAUGGUAUCUCAGCGCUGGCUGACAUUUGAUUGCAGCCUUGCAAGAGACCCUGAAGCAGAGGACCCAGCUAAGCCAGCCACCCUGAAGUCUCACCUGAAGCUGAGACUUUAAUUCUCCAAUACAACAUCCUCACAGGUGGACGAAGCUUUCCUGGAAUCCACAGUCUGAUUUAGAAGCCCUUUCUCCUUGCUUCCAUGUGCCCUGUGCUUGCCGUGAUCAUACCUCCUAUCACACAUCUCUCCCAUAAUCCUGAUCUCCACAUGCUUCCCUUACCACCACCACCACCACCACCACCACCACACCUGGAGGGCAGGGAUUUUGCCUUCUUCAGUGUCUGCCGCAAUGCCUGCCUGGCUCACUUGAAGUGUAAGAAAUGUUUGUUGAAUGAGUGAAGACAAGCAAGCCAGCCUGGGACUAGGACCCAUGUCUGCUGGCUCAGAAUGCAACAUUCUUUCCCCUACACCACCUUUCCUGCUAAUCUGACCUGACUCUUGUAAUCCUCUUUACCAGGCUGCCUAGCAACUCACCUACCACUGCUCUCCCAUUUUUGUCAUUCUUUCAUUCAUUCAUCCAUUCAACAACAAUUUCCUGAAAGUACACCAUGACAAACACAACUCUGCAAGAAAUAAAGGAGUACAAAAUGUGGCCCCUGACCUUAAAGAGCUCAUGAUCUGGUUGGGGAAACAGAGCAUAAGAGGAUGUCACUAGUUUUGAAUCUGAUGCAAUCUGAGUACAAAAAAAUAGUUCCAAUAGAGAAGAUGCUAAAACGAACAGUUUUGUUUUCCUGUCUGCAUAAAGUGGCUGAAUUCUCCCUGAAAUAGGAGGCUUUGGACAGCUGUGCUUAAGAGAACAUGCCUUUGAGCUUUUAUUCUGAUAUUAUUUUUAAAAGACGCUAUGGCACCAAGAGUGGUUUCUUCUUUAAAAUGUCAUUUUGUGUCUUGGGGAAAAAGAAAAAAAUCUGCCGUGGCUCUUUCACCAGUCAAAGUAAAUACUGAAGAAAUACUUUGCUUGUAUCCACAGCUCUCUUUGCAAGAGUAGAAUUUCCAUGACCUGCCAGACUGGCUGAAGAGGCAAAGGCCCCUUUCAGGCUGGGGGUUAUAGAGGACGUCUGUAGCAGUUUUUACCCUUCUUGGAUUGGAUCCUCAGGGUACAUCACAGCAUUGCUUGAAAAGUAAGAUUAUUUAGAUACAGGGCUUUUCAUCAAGCCAAGGAUGCUACCAGAUGCCUUGCCAAUAGACCUUAUCAAGAGUCUCCACAGUUACAUAUUUUUUGUGGUUAUAUUGUUGUUAUAAAUACCAAGACUUCAAGAAUGAUGAUACUUCCUGUUAUUUUAAUCAUGAGAAUGGAAGCAUAUUUGCUCCACAGUGUGGCAAAUGGAUGUUGGUAUUUAAGAGCAAGUUCUAUGUAUAGCACCGAUGGGUGUGUGUACAUGUUUGUAUUGGAGGUGGGCUUGGCAGGAAAUGUCCCAGUUCUUGUUGCACACAGUGAUUCUUUGCAUAAUUUUACUAUCCAUUAAAUUCCAGGGUGUGUGUGCUAGCAUGUAGAGAAAAUAGACUCGAACAAGUUAGUAUGUCUUCACAGACUCAGGCUUAAUUGAAAGUAGGUUAGGCCUAAGGAGAACCAUGAAGUGAGAAAGUAUUUAAAUUAAAAUGUGCAAUAUGAAAAGACUGUUCAAGCUUUUGAUAUGAAUCACUGCAGAUGCAAUUCUGCUGUGACAUUUUUAAGUAGAGAGAGGGUUGGUGUGGCAGACACUAUUGGAACCUCUCCCAACAGCCAUCCCCUCU